UUCCAGACUCCUACGGGAGGCAGCAGUGAGGAAUAUUGGUCAAUGGGCGGGAGCCUGAACCAGCCAAGCCGCGUGAAGGAAGAAGGCGCCAGGCGUCGUAAACUUCUUUUGUCGGGGAACAAAGGGCGCCACGUGUGGCGUUGUGAGUGUACCCGAAGAAAAAGCAUCGGCUAACUCCGUGCCAGCAGCCGCGGUAAUACGGAGGAUGCGAGCGUUAUCCGGAUUUAUUGGGUUUAAAGGGAGCGUAGGCCGGUCUUUAAGCGUGCCGUGAAAUUUUGUGGCUCAACCAUGAGAGUGCGGCGCGAACUGGAGACCUUGAGUGCGCGGAAGGCAGGCGGAAUUCGUGGUGUAGCGGUGAAAUGCUUAGAUAUCACGAAGAACCCCGAUUGCGAAGGCAGCCUGCCGCAGCGUUACUGACGCUGAAGCUCGAAAGCGCGGGUAUCGAACAGGAUUAGAUACCCCCGUAGUC
rnacentral:rRNA from 1 species